CCUACGGGAGGCAGCAGUGGGGAAUAUUGGACAAUGGGGGCAACCCUGAUCCAGCAAUGCCGCGUGUGUGAUGAAGGCCCUAGGGUUGUAAAGCACUUUCACUGGUGAAGAUGAUGACGGUAACCAGAGAAGAAGCCCCGGCUAACUUCGUGCCAGCAGCCGCGGUAAUACGAAGGGGGCGAGCGUUGUUCGGAAUUACUGGGCGUAAAGGGCGCGUAGGCGGCUCUUUAAGUUAGGCGUGAAAGCCCCGGGCUCAACCUGGGAACUGCGCUUAAGACUGGAGAGCUAGAAAACGGAAGAGGGUAGUGGAAUUCCCAGUGUAGAGGUGAAAUUCGUAGAUAUUGGGAAGAACACCAGUGGCGAAAGCGGCUACCUGGUCCGGCUUUGACGCUGAGGCGCGAAAGCGUGGGGAGCAAACAGGAUUAGAUACCCUGGUAGUCCACGCCGUAAACGAUGUCUGCUAGAUGUCGGGGGGUUGCCCCUCGGUGUCGCCGCUAACGCAUUAAGCAGACCGCCUGGGAAGUACGGUCGCAAGAUUAAAACUCAAAGGAAUUGACGG
rnacentral:rRNA from 1 species